AGAGUUUGAUCAUGGCUCAGAUUGAACGCUGGCGGCAGGCCUAACACAUGCAAGUCGAGCGGUAGCACAGAGAGCUUGCUCUCGGGUGACGAGCGGCGGACGGGUGAGUAAUGUCUGGGAAACUGCCUGAUGGAGGGGGAUAACUACUGGAAACGGUAGCUAAUACCGCAUAAUGUCGCAAGACCAAAGUGGGGGACCUUCGGGCCUCAUGCCAUCAGAUGUGCCCAGAUGGGAUUAGCUAGUAGGUGGGGUAAUGGCUCACCUAGGCGACGAUCCCUAGCUGGUCUGAGAGGAUGACCAGCCACACUGGAACUGAGACACGGUCCAGACUCCUACGGGAGGCAGCAGUGGGGAAUAUUGCACAAUGGGCGCAAGCCUGAUGCAGCCAUGCCGCGUGUGUGAAGAAGGCCUUCGGGUUGUAAAGCACUUUCAGCGGGGAGGAAGGCGGUGAGGUUAAUAACCUCACCGAUUGACGUUACCCGCAGAAGAAGCACCGGCUAACUCCGUGCCAGCAGCCGCGGUAAUACGGAGGGUGCAAGCGUUAAUCGGAAUUACUGGGCGUAAAGCGCACGCAGGCGGUCUGUCAAGUCGGAUGUGAAAUCCCCGGGCUCAACCUGGGAACUGCAUUCGAAACUGGCAGGCUAGAGUCUUGUAGAGGGGGGUAGAAUUCCAGGUGUAGCGGUGAAAUGCGUAGAGAUCUGGAGGAAUACCGGUGGCGAAGGCGGCCCCCUGGACAAAGACUGACGCUCAGGUGCGAAAGCGUGGGGAGCAAACAGGAUUAGAUACCCUGGUAGUCCACGCCGUAAACGAUGUCGAUUUGGAGGUUGUGCCCUUGAGGCGUGGCUUCCGGAGCUAACGCGUUAAAUCGACCGCCUGGGGAGUACGGCCGCAAGGUUAAAACUCAAAUGAAUUGACGGGGGCCCGCACAAGCGGUGGAGCAUGUGGUUUAAUUCGAUGCAACGCGAAGAACCUUACCUGGUCUUGACAUCCACAGAACUUUCCAGAGAUGGAUUGGUGCCUUCGGGAACUGUGAGACAGGUGCUGCAUGGCUGUCGUCAGCUCGUGUUGUGAAAUGUUGGGUUAAGUCCCGCAACGAGCGCAACCCUUAUCCUUUGUUGCCAGCGGUUAGGCCGGGAACUCAAAGGAGACUGCCAGUGAUAAACUGGAGGAAGGUGGGGAUGACGUCAAGUCAUCAUGGCCCUUACGACCAGGGCUACACACGUGCUACAAUGGCAUAUACAAAGAGAAGCGACCUCGCGAGAGCAAGCGGACCUCAUAAAGUAUGUCGUAGUCCGGAUUGGAGUCUGCAACUCGACUCCAUGAAGUCGGAAUCGCUAGUAAUCGUAGAUCAGAAUGCUACGGUGAAUACGUUCCCGGGCCUUGUACACACCGCCCGUCACACCAUGGGAGUGGGUUGCAAAAGAAGUAGGUAGCUUAACCUUCGGGAGGGCGCUUACCACUUUGUGAUUCAUGACUGGGGUGAAGUCGUAACAAGGUAACCGUAGGGGAACCUGCGGUUG
rnacentral:rRNA from 1 species